CGUAUCACCCAAGACAACUUUACGGAGUUGACGAUUGACGGAGCGAAGCGACGUCAAAGCGUUCAUUAAAGUCGAGUUGGCUUAGGGAUACGUUCGUUGGGUAGGGGAGCGUUCUGUAAGCCUGUGAAGGUGUGUCGUGAGGCAUGCUGGAGGUAUCAGAAGUGCGAAUGCUGACAUAAGUAACGAUAAAGCGGGUGAAAAGCCCGCUCGCCGGAAGACCAAGGGUUCCUGUCCAACGUUAAUCGGGGCAGGGUGAGUCGACCCCUAAGGCGAGGCCGAAAGGCGUAGUCGAUGGGAAACGGGUUAAUAUUCCCGUACUUGGUGUUACUGCGAAGGGGGGACGGAGAAGGCUAUGUUGGCCGGGCGACGGUUGUCCCGGUUUAAGCGUGUAGGUGUGUGUUCCAGGUAAAUCCGGUUCACUUUAACACUGAGGCGUGACGACGAGGCACUACGGUGCUGAAGCAACAAAUGCCCUGCUUCCAGGAAAAGCCUCUAAGCAUCAGGUAACACGAAAUCGUACCCCAAACCGACACAGGUGGUCAGGUAGAGAAUACCAAGGCGCUUGAGAGAACUC
rnacentral:rRNA from 1 species